GACGAACGCUGGCGGCGUGCUUAACACAUGCAAGUCGAACGAAGUGGCGAACGGGUGAGUAACGCGUAAUCAACCUGCCCUUCAGGGGGGAACAACAGUUGGAAACGACUGCUAAUACCGCAUACUGAUGGAGGGGUUUGCGUCUGAUUGGCUCGUUGGGGGGGUAACGGCCCACCAAGGCGAUGAUCAGUCGCGGGUCUGAGAGGAGGAACGGCAAAAUUGGGACGGAGACACGGGCCAGACUCCGACGGGAGGCAGCAGGGGGGAAUAUUCCGCAAUGGACGAAAGUCUGACGGGGCAACGCCGCGUGAGUGAGGACGGCCUUCGGGUUGUAAAGCUCUGUUAAUCGGGACGCGGUACCGGAAUAGAAAGCCACGGCUAACUACGUGCCAGCAGCCGCGGUAAUUC
rnacentral:rRNA from 1 species